rnacentral:rRNA from 1 species
UUAGGAAUAUUCGUCAAUGGGGGAAACCCUGAACGAGCAAUGCCGCGUGAGUGAUGAAGGUCUUUGGAUUGUAAAACUCUGUUGUAUGGAAAAAACGAUUAGGUUAGGAAAUGAACUUAAUGUGAUGGUACCAUACCAGAAAGCCCCGGCUAACUACGUGCCAGCAGCCGCGGUAAUACGUAGGGGGCGAGCGUUAUCCGGAUUUAUUGGGCGUAAAGCGUGCGUAGGCGGCUUGUUAAGUUUAAGAUAAAAGCCCGGGGCUCAACUCCGGUUCGUCUUAAAAACUGGCAGGCUUGAGUGUGGUAGAGGUAAACGGAAUUUCUAGUGUAGCGGUGAAAUGCGUAGAUAUUAGAAGGAACACCAGUGGCGAAGGCGGUUUACUGGGCCAUAACUGACGCUGAGGCACGAAAGCGUGGGUAGCAAAUAGG